GGAGGUGAAAGGCGGCCUGGUUGGCGCCCCUGGUCUUCAAAACCAGUGUGGGGCUCAACAAAGUCCCAGGUGGGUUCGACUCCCAUUCACCUCCGCCA
rnacentral:tRNA from 1 species